CCCCAAAAUCCUCAGCACAGGAGAAAGAGCUACAGAGAGAGAAUGGAGCAAGGCAGGUCCUGGAGCACUGGUUGUGCUGCCUGGUGUGUGCCAGCAGUGUCAGCUGCCUUAGAGCAGCACCUCAGCUACUUCUCCUGCCCUCUGAAGACUUGUGUGAAAGUGACCAAGAUACAAAGGGCCCGGGGUGCUCCUGGAAGAGGAAAAGCCUACUGGUGUUGCUUGAAUGAAGGGGCUGAGGACAGUGCCUGAGUGUCUGCAUUCAUGUCCUGGGAAAGCAGUUGGAAAUUGAUCCUGGUUUGGUCACCCACUGAUGAGCUAAUUUUUAACACCAACCAUGAACAUCUCACUGCUGGAAUUGCGGUGUGCCCGGUCCUCAGCAAGCAUGUGAGCGAGCAAAUCACUCCAGCAGCGUGGAUCGUUCUUCUGCACCCAUUGUUAUGGAAAUCGCCUUAGAGACUGUUGCUCCAGCAAACAUUUUUAGAAGCACGAGUGAGUUGCGCAACAGGAAAACUGCUCGGAGGUGAGGAAAACCCCCCUCCAGGCUCUCAGCGCUGCCCCUUCCUCCAGCACCGCAGUGGAGCCCUGCUGGCUCUCCUGGUGGGGACGGGAUUCAGGGUGUUCCUUUGCCUGGUAAGGCAGGGAGAAAGUGCUUCUGGAGGAGAAGCCCCUUCUGCGUCAGUCUCCAAGGAAACCCUUGGUGUUGCGUGGCUCAGCCUCCGUUGCACGCCUGGGCAGAGGCUCACACGUCCCAGACUUGUGCCUUAAUCAUACAUCCACACUUUGAUCUGCUAGUGGCGUUUUAUGGGUGCAAAAUUUAGGCAAAUUGUGGGGUUUUCCUACCCCUACAUUUAGGGGUUUAUCUCAGAGAGCCCCAUGGUUGGAUUGGUGUGCAGCACAAGUGAAACCAGCCCUAUCUCUGUUUCGAAUGCACAUUCCUCACUGCUGACUCUGGAAGGAGAAGCCUUCUAAUGCUCCCACACCUCCCAGCUUCUCUCGAGCAAGCCUGGGAGCUGUGGUGGUUACAGGGAGGCUUGGGCAGCAGCUGCUUCCAGGUGUGCUGCCACCAGCCUGGGUGCAGUGCCUGAGCCAGGGCAGGUCACCCCUCUGCCCCCUGCCUGGUGACAAGCAGGAGGGGUAGAGGAGAGCAAGUCACUGCCUCAAAAGCUUCCAAACACCCACAGGUUAGGGCUGCCCACCCACAGGGAAGUUUCACUGCUCACCCCCCAUUUGUGCUCAAACGCCCAGCCCUGAGUUUUAAUUUUAAAAAAACAUCUCUUCUUGUCUCAAUUAACUACAAACAAUUGCUUCUCUUGAGUUUGCUCAUGCUCCUCAUCACUGCCUGCUGUGGAGCAGGACCAGCUCUCCAGCCUGUACCCAGGAGCUCCGAGCAGCCCCAGCUGAUGUAAAGGGAAAAGCACAGAUCCAGUGACCUUUGUUUGCCUCACUGCUGCCCACAGUGCCUGCCUGACAUUUGAGGAGUGCUCUUAAAAAAAAAAUGUACCAUUUCUGGCACACUGGCCCUGCUGCUGAAGAGCUGUUCCUCUUCCACCUCCUUCACCUGCUGGGAUUAAAAGCUACAGGUAAUGCUGAGGAGUAAAUGAAAGGCUUUCCAUGAGGAAAUAAGCUAAAACAGUAAACAAAAGGCUGAUUCUUAGAAGCAAAACAUCUGAAGCUGCCACCAGGAAAACAUGGUGAUGAAGCACUCUGGUCCUCGGAAGUUGCCUUACAUGUAUUGGAAAUUACCUUCUGACUCAACCAGCUCAGUGUGUCUGGUGCCACUGUGCUAAAAGCUUUUAGCUGACCUGAAUAGCCGAGGUUUUCAAGGAAAUAACAUUUCCCAUGAGAAAUAUCACCACCAGAGCCAAACCUUUCCUGAGAAAAGCCUGGGUUAGGUGGGUGAUUUCUCCUGCUCUGGGAGCAGCCUCCUUGAGGAGCUGAGCUCCCACUGCCGUGUCCCUGUGGGCAGGAGCUGCUCUGUGGGCACACCCAGAGCUCUGCUCUCACUCCUCUGCUGCCACAGCAUGGGGGUCUCCAAUGCAAGGUCCAAGUAAAAGCCUUUUAAUCAUCCUGCAGGCUCCUGGGAGCGUUCCUCUUUCCUGCUGCCCUUCUCCCGCCAGAGCAGAGUCUGGCUUCUUAUUCAGAGCCAGUGGCUCAUUCCCUGGGAUGUCUUUGCUUGAAUUUGCCUGGUCACCUCUUUCCCUGAGCACUGCUUCCUUGCUUGUCAGAUGGUGAGUGAAGGAACACAGGCACAGUGUGUGCUGAGGUGGCACCAGCUGCUGGCAGGAUCCCCCUUCCUCGUGCCCUGGGUGUCCCGAGGCUGGUGCCCCCCUCUGUUGUGGGCAGUGGUCAGAAGGGGAAGCAAUGUGUGUCUCCAAUUCCAUCCUUUUCUCCAAGAUCCACCACUUGAGCUUUGAAAUGCUGUGAGCUCUCCCUGCUCCCCUGGCUUUUCACAUUCCAGGGUGCCACUCACAAGGACCUCAGUGUGCAAAGAGGAGCUUUAUGAAGUCCAACAAAGGGACUUAGGAACUCCUGCCCCCAAGGAGGAAUGACCCCACUCACCAGUACAAACUGGGGACCAGAUGGCUGGAAAACAACUUUGUAGGUAAAGACCUGGGAGGUCCUGGUGGAUAACAAACUGACCAUGAGCCAGUGGUGCUUUCUCACAAUCAGCAACAUCAUGGGCUGGAUUAAGAAGAGCAUUGCCAGCAGGCCAAGGGAGAAGGAGGAAGGAGGUUUUGAUUCAUCCUUUUUGACCAAGCACUGCUGCCACUGGCAGAAACUGAGUUGGACCUUGUGAGUGUUUCAGAUACUUCUUGCCAGCUCUGAGGUCCAGCAGAGUCCUACAUGAAGGAUCUUAAACCCCAGUUUAAGGCUUGGAAAGCAGGACACAGAAGGAAGGGACCUGCCACAUAAUUAAGCCAGUGGUGGGUUAGGAAGUGACUGGACUCUUCUCUGAGACCUAGUUUAGUUCCCCCUGUGCUGGGUCAUGUUCUUGUAGGUCAUAUAUGUGUAUUCAAAAGUUGUGAAUGUACCCAAGAGUGUCAGGCUGGCCGAAGAGAUGUUUUGUGUUCAAAAUAAAGUCCUGU